GUAUUCAAUUCGGCGGUACUUAUACUAAAAUUGAAACAAUACAGAGAAGGUUAGUGUGGCCCCUGUUCAUGGGUGACACACAAAAUCAUGAAGCGUUCCAUAUUUUU
rnacentral:snRNA from 1 species